GGGCUUCGCAGGCGGUUUUUUAAGUUCUGAAGGUUGAAAGCCCCCCGGCUUCAACCGGGGAGGGUCAUUGGAAACUUGGGGAACUUUGAGUGCAGAAGAGGAGAGUGGAAUUCCACGUGUAGCGGUGAAAUGCGUAGAGAUGUGGAGGAACACCAGUGGCGAAGGCGACUCUCUGGUCUGUAACUGACGCUGAGGAGCGAAAGCGUGGGGAGCGAACAGGAUUAGAUACCCUGGUAGUCCACGCCGUAAACGAUGAGUGCUAAGUGUUAGGGGGUUUCCGCCCCUUAGUGCUGCAGCUAACGCAUUAAGCACUCCGCCUGGGGAGUACGGUCGCAAGACUGAAACUCAAAGGAAUUGACGGGGGCCCGCACAAGCGGUGGAGCAUGUGGUUUAAUUCGAAGCAACGCGAAGAACCUUACCAGGUCUUGACAUCCUCUGACAAUCCUAGAGAUAGGACGUCCCCUUCGGGGGCAGAGUGACAGGUGGUGCAUGGUUGUCGUCAGCUCGUGUCGUGAGAUGUUGGGUUAAGUCCCGCAACGAGCGCAACCCUUGAUCUUAGUUGCCAGCAUUCAGUUGGGCACUCUAAGGUGACUGCCGGUGACAAACCGGAGGAAGGUGGGGGAUGACGUCAAAUCAUCAUGCCCCUUAUGACCUGGGCUACACACGUGCUACAAUGGACAGAACAAAGGGCAGCGAAACCGCGAGGUUAAGCCAAUCCCACAAAUCUGUUCUCAGUUCGGAUCGCAGUCUGCAACUCGACUGCGUGAAGCUGGAAUCGCUAGUAAUCGCGGAU
rnacentral:rRNA from 1 species